AUAAUACUCCCUCCGUUUGGAAUUACUUGUCAUCAAUAUGGAUGUGUCUAGAACUAAAAUACAUCUAGAUACAUCCAUUUCAAUCACAAGUAUUUUCGGACGGAGGGAGUAGUAG
rfam:Triticum aestivum genome assembly, contig: Triticum_aestivum_CS42_TGACv1_scaffold_049785_1BS